AUUAAUAGUAGGGAAGGAAGAGAUCUGUCACAUCACAUUAAAGAGCACCAAAACCCCAUUUAUUGUUUGAAUUUGUGAUAAUGUACAGAGACUCUUUUAUAUCAAAUGUUUAUUGCUGUUAUUGAAUAUCAGGAGCGCUAUGAGUAAUGUUUAGUGCUGUUUUGUUCAAGAUCUUUUACUCUGUUGAUGCAUGAUUUAACAAGUGAUACCAGUUCAUGAAAAUUAAUAUGGGACUAAAACUGAUAGUAAAAAGCAAAAGUCAACACACACAAUAAUGGUGCUGGAUGUAUCUUGUAGGCUCUGUGUGUGAUCCAGCCCCAGUGCAUCGUGGGCGAGUGAAGCCGCCAGUGUCUCGUCCACCCGCCCGUUUGGCCUUCUUACGGCAGAUGGAGCAGCAUGAACUCAGUGCUAUACAGGAAGUGGAUUCGCCAGUCAACAUCAGCCUGGACGCAGAGCUGCAGUCUGUUGAUGUGAGCGGGUCCAGCAGCACGUCUCUGCCCGCCAUCUCCUCUGAAGACGCUCACAGCGUGGCUCACAGGUCACAGGUCACGGGCAGAAGCAGCCGCAUGUCCUGGAGAGAGACACUCCUGUGUGACUCCACAGCCUCAGCGAGUAAGAAGCGCCACACUCACCGCUGCUCUGGUUUAUCACUGUGCUGUAUAGUUGGGAAGCUGUGUGAUGUGCAGAACAGAGCUGGAGGCUCAAGAAAUACAGUGUGUUCGUUAGAAAUCUGUCUCUGAAGCCUGCUUCCCUUGGUUACCGUUGCUAAGGCUGUCAGGCGAAUUUAGUUCAGGAGUGAUUAAAUAAGAUCUGGUUUAACGGUGAAUUCAUAUUAAUAAUAAUCUAUAGUCAUUGAGGACUUCAGGAUGCGUCCAGAACAGAGAUACAGGGAGAGACCUGUGAUGCACAAAACAAAUGUUUAACGAGACAAGCGUGAGUUCUCUCCCAGUUAUUCUUGAUGAUGUUUUUGUUGGCGUGCACAUGACUGUUCAGAACCUUUUAAAUGUGCGAGAGGCUGGUGGAUCUCAACCACAGGGUGACUUGAUGACCUUACGUUAUUCAAAAUGAUAAAAUAACGUUCUUCUCGCUCUGAAGACGUGGCGUUCUCCGUCUGCUUGACCCUGAGUUGAUUACAUGUGUUCCUCGUCCACUCACUGAAGCGCUCGUCCAUAAUCAUCCAACAGGAAUCACCUCAGUUCCUCUCGAUCUGCUCGAUGUCCAGUUCUCCGCCCAGCUGGAGUGAGUCCCGCCCACUCCGGCUGCAGAGCCCCGCCCACAGACACUCGCGCUCCUUCCCAUUGCUCCGCCCCGCUGGCCAGCUGGCCUCUGAUUGGUGGAUGACGGCGUCGUCUUUGGUCUGGUGCUGGUGGAGCGUGACGUCACCCUCGGUGUGGAGCUCGUCUCCUAUGUGGACGAUUAAGCACUAAGGUAUUAUCACCAGCUUGCUGCUUUGAAACAAUUUGUAUUGUGCAAAGUGCUAUUCAAAUAAUAAUGGACUUGAGUUAAGUUGUUUAAUU
rnacentral:lncRNA from 1 species